rnacentral:rRNA from 1 species
AGAGUUUGAUCAUGGCUCAGAUUGAACGCUGGCGGCAGGCCUAACACAUGCAAGUCGAACGGUAACAGGAAGCAGCUUGCUGCUUCGCUGACGAGUGGCGGACGGGUGAGUAAUGUCUGGGAAGCUGCCUGAUGGAGGGGGAUAACUACUGGAAACGGUAGCUAAUACCGCAUAAUGUCGCAAGACCAAAGAGGGGGACCUUCGGGCCUCUUGCCAUCGGAUGUGCCCAGAUGGGAUUAGCUUGUUGGUGGGGUAACGGCUCACCAAGGCGACGAUCCCUAGCUGGUCUGAGAGGAUGACCAGCCACACUGGAACUGAGACACGGUCCAGACUCCUACGGGAGGCAGCAGUGGGGAAUAUUGCACAAUGGGCGCAAGCCUGAUGCAGCCAUGCCGCGUGUAUGAAGAAGGCCUUCGGGUUGUAAAGUACUUUCAGCGGGGAGGAAGGGAGUAAAGUUAAUACCUUUGCUCAUUGACGUUACCCGCAGAAGAAGCACCGGCUAACUCCGUGCCAGCAGCCGCGGUAAUACGGAGGGUGCAAGCGUUAAUCGGAAUUACUGGGCGUAAAGCGCACGCAGGCGGUUUGUUAAGUCAGAUGUGAAAUCCCCGGGCUCAACCUGGGAACUGCAUCUGACACUGGCAAGCUUGAGUCUCGUAGAGGGGGGUAGAAUUCCAGGUGUAGCGGUGAAAUGCGUAGAGAUCUGGAGGAAUACCGGUGGCGAAGGCGGCCCCCUGGACGAAGACUGACGCUCAGGUGCGAAAGCGUGGGGAGCAAACAGGAUUAGAUACCCUGGUAGUCCACGCCGUAAACGAUGUCGACUUGGAGGUUGUGCCCUUGAGGCGUGGCUUCCGGAGCUAACGCGUUAAGUCGACCGCCUGGGGAGUACGGCCGCAAGGUUAAAACUCAAAUGAAUUGACGGGGGCCCGCACAAGCGGUGGAGCAUGUGGUUUAAUUCGAUGCAACGCGAAGAACCUUACCUGGUCUUGACAUCCACGGAAGUUUUCAGAGAUGAGAAUGUGCCUUCGGGAACCGUGAGACAGGUGCUGCAUGGCUGUCGUCAGCUCGUGUUGUGAAAUGUUGGGUUAAGUCCCGCAACGAGCGCAACCCUUAUCCUUUGUUGCCAGCGGUCCGGCCGGGAACUCAAAGGAGACUGCCAGUGAUAAACUGGAGGAAGGUGGGGAUGACGUCAAGUCAUCAUGGCCCUUACGACCAGGGCUACACACGUGCUACAAUGGCGCAUACAAAGAGAAGCGACCUCGCGAGAGCAAGCGGACCUCAUAAAGUGCGUCGUAGUCCGGAUUGGAGUCUGCAACUCGACUCCAUGAAGUCGGAAUCGCUAGUAAUCGUGGAUCAGAAUGCCACGGUGAAUACGUUCCCGGGCCUUGUACACACCGCCCGUCACACCAUGGGAGUGGGUUGCAAAAGAAGUAGGUAGCUUAACCUUCGGGAGGGCGCUUACCACUUUGUGAUUCAUGACUGGGGUGGAGUCGAAACAAGGUAACCGUAGGGGAGCCUGCGGUUG